CAUUUAGCCACUUUCUUAUAAAUUCAUAGACAUAGUCAAAUGCUUGUACAUCAGUUUGUUUAUAUGCAGCUUCAUUUGUUACAUAUGAAAAUCCAGUGUUUAUUGGUUGAUCCAAAAAUAUUACACUUGCUAUCUUGGUCCAUGCGUGUGGGUUUACUACGAACGAGGGCAUACUCUCAUCGUAGACUUGUUCCACAAAACGGAGUGGUCCUAUCCCAUUAACAAUGGCAGUGACAGCCGAGCAACCGGGCCCACCAGGUAGCCAAAUCAAAAGAGGAUCGGUAG
rnacentral:misc_RNA from 1 species